GAUUUCACAGAUUCACAAGAAUGGUUGAGGUUGGAAGGGACCUCCGGAGAUCAUCGAGUCCAAGCCCACUGCUCAAGCAGAGUCACCUAGAGCACGUUACACAGGAUUGCAUACAGGCAGGUUUUGAAUAUUUCCAAAGGAGGAGACUCCACAACCUCUCUGGGCAGCCUGUUCCAGUGAUUUGUCACCCAAACUGUAAAGAAGUUCUUCCUCAUAUGGCAAUGAAACCUCCUGUAGUUCAAUUUAUACCCAUUACCCCUUUUCCUAUCACUGGCCACCACUGAGAAGAGUUUGGCCCCAUCCACUUUGC